rnacentral:rRNA from 1 species
AGACCGUAGACACGGUAGUGCCGGUGGAGGAUCCGGCGCGGGUGGGGCUACAUCCGGACGAGAGGAAGGAGCUGGUGCGACGUGUAGUUCAUCGGAGGAAUGCGGCAUCGGCGGUCAGGCCAUGGAAGGGACCGAUUCCGAAGGUGUGUCUUCCUAAACCUGUUCUUUCCGAUUUCAUCACUCACAAUUCAUGGAAGAUAGUAAGGAGAAAGAAGGCUCGGCGGUCGUCGGCGGCCACGGUGCCGGCGCCGGCGAUCGACCGAUGCGCUCAGAUCCGCGAUCAUAGGAUCGCUCGUUUGAACGGAUUGCUGGGCUGUGAGUUCGGUCAGCUGGUGGGUGGGCCGGUUCUGAGUGAACCGGCCAAUGUUGACGUUGGGUUACAGACCGAUGGGUAUGAGGCCCAGCCUGUUAUGCAGCCCAAGUCUACAACCCCAUGCACGAGAUCGUUUCGACAUAGGGUUCGACACAGAGGCGGACGUCCUUGUUUUCUCGAUCGCGGCGGAGGGAGGGCUGCUCGUAUACCUACCCUUCGUCUGAUGGCGGGACGGGGGUCUCUUCCG